rnacentral:tRNA from 1 species
GUCCGCAGGGGACCGGCUCCAUGGAUCUCUUGGCCUGAUGCGCCAAGGCCGUCACCGCCGGGUCAUGACUCCGGCGGCGGGUG